rnacentral:lncRNA from 1 species
AGAAAAAGGAAAAGGAAAAUCGUCGUUUAACUGGAUCAUCUGUACGCGAUUUUUGGACCAAAAUAUAAGGAAGGUGAAGAAAACCUAAGCGAAAGCGGCGAAUCGAAGUUUAACCGGGUUCUGUAUUAUGGGUCGGGUCACUGUACCGUACAGUUCGGUAAUUUGGUAUGGAGUUUGGCUCGUCAAGCUUACGCAGACUACUAAGUACUAACACGUUUUCUUUGACGACCCUACGUUGUAAAACUAAUGGAAAAUUGCAAUUUACCCCUUUUAACUUGCUCUUUUUCUUUUGGGAAAAUUACGAGCAGCCCCCUAGUUUAUGGUCAAAUUAUGAAAACCAUCCUUCUGUUUGGAUAAUCACAGUCACCCUCAACUAUGUAUUAUCUUACAAAAAUACCCCUCCAAAAGUAAAUUUAGAGAUGUUAAAUCAGUAAAACUGAACCGAAAUUUUGGUACGCCAAUAUAUCAUACCGUUUACCGAACUGAAUAUAAGAUUUGGUUUGAUAAAUAAAAGAAUUACAUAAAUUUUAUGUAAAAAUAUUUAAAAGAAGGAGUGGCUGUAAUAAA